CCUGUCGCAGAGCUUCACAAACAACAGGAAUUGAUCAGGACCUUGUCCACUUGCAAAGUGUUGAUAGGAAUUGAUCUGUGUGGUGAGGACAGGUCCUUCCUCUUCUCAUAGAGCACAAACCAAUGGUGCAGCUCAUCCAGGUUUAUGUGCACAUAAUCCUCAUCAGAUUUGACUGGAGGACCCUGCAGACAUGAGUCGACAUCAGGCAUUGACCCAUCCAGAUGUAAGUCAAAGUCUGCCACAU